GGAAGUAAAGUCGUAACAGGUCUCCGUUGGUGAACCAGCGGAGGGAUCAUUACCGAGUUUUCAACUCCCUAACCCUUCUGUGAACCUACCUAUCGUUGCUUCGGCGGACUCGCCCCAGCCCGGACGCGGACUGGACCAGCGGCCCGCCGGGGACCUCAAACUCUUGUUUCCAGCAUCUUCUGAAUACGCCGCAAGGCAAAACAAAUGAAUCAAAACUUUCAACAACGGAUCUCUUGGCUCUGGCAUCGAUGAAGAACGCAGCGAAACGCGAUAAGUAAUGUGAAUUCAGAAUCCAGUGAAUCAUCGAAUCUUUGAACGCACAUUGCGCCCGCCAGCAUUCUGGCGGGCAUGCCUGUUCGAGCGUCAUUUCAACCCUCGACCCCCCCUUGGGGAGGUCGGCGUUGGGGACCGGCAGCACACCGCCGGCCCUGAAAUGGAGUGGCGGCCCGUCCGCGGCGACCUCUGCGUAGUAAUACAGCUCGCACCGGAACCCCGACGCGGCCACGCCGUAAAACACCCAACUUCUGAACGUUGACCUCGAAUCAGGUAGGACUACCCGCUGAACUUAAGCAAUCAAUAAGCGGAGGA
rnacentral:rRNA from 1 species